CAGGUGGCAUAUAUACACCCGCUUCCCUUUAAGCAGCAUCCGAUCAGUGCUGAGUGAGCAGUACAGACUAUUGUGAUGUGGCAGUUGAGAGGAUAGAGGGCUGAGGUGGUCAGGGACAGCUACAGGGAAGAGCUAAUCAUUCAUCCUAGCCAAGCCUGGAAAGAUGAGUAGGAUUUGGAAACAGGUUAUCUCAUCACAUGCAAGUACCAAGAUGCAUUCUCAAACCAAUUAUAAACUUCGAGAUAAAGAAGCAGAGGCCCAGAGAGAGAUUUUGAGAAUGUAGGAAGAGAGCAGCCAUGACUUCCUCUGAAUUCUUUGUCCCAUAGCAUGAUGGGAACUUACUCUUCCUACUCUGGAGAGCUCAUCGACACCUCUUGCCUUCAUGGGGAUGCCCUGAGCUCCUCUCAGCACCUGUUUCUAAUCAUCAUGGUAUAGUGGAAAAAGUACUGGAUUUGGGAGCCAGAGGAUCUGCUUCCAAAUCCAGUUU